GACGAACGCUGGCGGCACGCUUAACACAUGCAAGUCGAACGAGAGAAGAGAAGCUUGCUUUUCUGAUCUAGUGGCGGACGGGUGAGUAACACGUGAGCAAUCUGCCUUUCAGAGGGGGAUACCGAUUGGAAACGAUCGUUAAUACCGCAUAACAUAAUUGAACCGCAUGAUUUGAUUAUCAAAGAUUUAUCGCUGAAAGAUGAGCUCGCGUCUGAUUAGCUAGUUGGUAAGGUAACGGCUUACCAAGGCGACGAUCAGUAGCCGGACUGAGAGGUUGAUCGGCCACAUUGGGACUGAGACACGGCCCAGACUCCUACGGGAGGCAGCAGUGGGGAAUAUUGCACAAUGGAGGAAACUCUGAUGCAGCGAUGCCGCGUGAGGGAAGAAGGUUUUAGGAUUGUAAACCUCUGUCUUCAGGGACGAAA
rnacentral:rRNA from 1 species